UACACCGCCACCAAGUAUGCUGUAACUGCUCUGACCGAAGCCCUGAGGCAGGAGAAAAAACUCACAUCAGAGCCACAAGCAUUUCUCCUGGUUUAGUGGAGACAGAAUUCGCUUCACGGCUCCACAGUGACAAUCCUGAUAAAGCAGCUGGUAUAUAUGCUGCAUACAGGCCUCUGGAACCCAAAGACAUCGUCAGCGCUGUCACGUACGCGCUCAGUGCCCCUCCUCAUGUUCAGAUUCGAGACAUUCAGUUUGAAGCUGUGUAGCAGGUGUCAAUAAAGUUUGUUACCCUGGCAACUCCAGUACAGAGAUUUGAUCAUCACUGUUUCUUGAUUCUUUUUGGCAAGUUGCAUCCUGUGACUCUCUCAUAUAAUGUACUCGCAAAUUCUACUUCUUUACUA